rnacentral:lncRNA from 1 species
GGACCAGUCUCUUUGCUUCCCUCUGGGAUGUUUUUUUUGAUCCAGCUUGACUUUCUUUGUACAGCUACUGAGAGAGCCAGCAGAUAUUCACUGUACAGUUGUCCAGCUCUUUCUCCUCUUACUCAUCCAGCACCGUGGGAAUGUCUAGGCUCAACUUUCCUUUAGUUGGAAUUUCAGGCAGUUCCAAUUCCAGAAGUUCACAGCUGCCCUGUGGUGGACAUCUUUCUUCAUCACAACAUACAAAAAUCCUGGGAACAGCUGCUCUGCAGCCACGGGAAGGCCUUUCGGAGAGAGCUGGGAGCAGAGAAGGGGAAGCGAUGUCAAAGGACAGCCAUGAAUACAGUGAAGUUCUGUCAGUGCUCUGCUGCUAACCACUGCCAUAUUGAAGACAGAGCUUUUUAUUUUGUUCUGUUCUCUCCAGCUAGCUUGUGAUCAAUACACAACUACAACCCCCACCUCACAAUCUGUCCGUUUCCUUACUAGCCUCUUGUGAGGUAUAUUGUCAAAAGUGCUUUAAAAA